rnacentral:misc_RNA from 1 species
GAUGAAGAACGUAGCGAAAUGCGAUACGUAAUGUGAAUUGCAGAAUUCAGUGAAUCAUCGAGUCUUUGAACGCACAUUGCGCCCCCUGGUAUUCCGGGGGGCAUGCCUGUCCGAGCGUCAUUGCUGCCCUCAAGCACGGCUUGUGUGUUGGGCCUCCGUCCUCCUCCCGGGGGACGGGCCCGAAAGGCAGCGGCGGCCCCGCGUCCGGUCCUCGAGCGUAUGGGGCUUCGUCACCCGCUCUUGUAGGCCCGGCCGGCGCUUGCCGACACAUCAAUCUUUUUUCCAGGUUGACCUCGGAUCAGGUAGGGAUGCCCGCUGAACUUAAGCAUAUCAAUAAGCGGAGGA